GGUGUGGGGCGCUAUGUCUGGGGGGCUCCUCGUUCCUCCCUUAAAGCCCCCUCCCCAUCCGUCGCCCCUCGUCUGGAAGGGCUCUUCCAGCCUGGCUGUAGCGCCAGUGAGCUCGGCGGGAGGGGGGCGAGGCCCCUCAGGCCCCGCCCUGCCUCUGAAGUGUGAAGGCCGGAGCGUCUGACCUCACAGGGUUUUGGCAGCUGAGGGGAAGUGCUCGUGUGUCCCCAGGAGUGAGUGAGGCAGCGGCUGGGCGGUGUCCUGGGGAAGGGGCUGGAGCACAAGUGUGAGGAGGAGCAGCUGAGGGAGCUGGGGGUGUCCAGCCUGGAGACAAGGAGGACUUUCUUCUGGGUGAAAGUUAAAUCUGGGGCCCAGGCUGUGGCAACAGAUCACUGGGCAGCGCGCAGAGUGCAAUUGCUGCCUGCUCUGUGUGUGUUUCCCUGCUUUUUCACUGGAGUUUGACAUCUGGAGCUACUCCAGGAACCUCCUUGGUGGCUUUGGAGAGUAGCUGUCUUUAAUCCAGAGGUGGCCAGAGCUCACGAGGGGCUCAGAGAUACCUGUGGAGGGAUGGCUCAGAUGAAAGGACUGCUCAAAGAUUCCUCUUUCUCAUGAGGAAUUGCAGGUGGCAGCAGCUUUCGUCGUGGAAGCAUCACAUGCUUUGGUCAUUUUCACCUGCAGGGGAUUGUUUUUGGAGGCUCCAUCACUGCCCUUGGACAAGACCUGCUGUCCUGUGCUGGGGUGGGCCUUGUUCAGCCUCCAGGGCUGGCAGGGGACAUGAGUUUUGAGGGUUUUUCUUCCUUUUUAAUUAAAAACAACAACUUGA